AUGAAUAAUUUCACUGGUAUGAUUCCGGCGGAGAUCGGUAGGUUACAAGGACUAUUUUCACUUAACUUGAGCUCCAACAGAUUAUCUGGAGAGAUACCAGAACAGAUCUGCAAUCUCACGAACCUGCAGAUGCUCGACUUGUCUGGUAAUCAUCUCACUGGUAAGAUUCCAGCUGCAUUGAACAAUCUGCACUUCCUUUCCAGAUUCAACAUUUCUAAUAAUGACCUAGAAGGCCCUAUUCCAAACAUGGGCCAGUUCAGCACGUUUCCGGAUUCUAGCUUUGGUGGAAACCCAAAACUGUGUGGCCCUAUGGUUGCAAACCAUUGUGGUUCGGCAGAAGCAAGUCCAGUUUCCAUUGACCCUAUAAAACAGAUUGGUAGUGAGGCCAUCAUCUUUAUGACCUCCUUCGGUGUUUUCUUUGGAGUAGGAGUCCUAUAUGAUCAGAAAGUCUUAGCUAGACAUUUUGGCUGA
rnacentral:rRNA from 1 species